AGAACGAACGCUGGCGGCAUGCCUAAUACAUGCAAGUCGAACGAACACUUCGGUGUUAGUGGCGCACGGGUGCGUAACGCGUGGGAAUCUGCCCUUGGGUUCGGAAUAACAGUUGGAAACGACUGCUAAUACCGGAUGAUAUCGAAAGAUCAAAGAUUUAUCGCCCAGGGAUGAGCCCGCGUAGGAUUAGCUAGUUGGUGAGGUAAAGGCUCACCAAGGCGACGAUCCUUAGCUGGUCUGAGAGGAUGAUCAGCCACACUGGGACUGAGACACGGCCCAGACUCCUACGGGAGCAGCAGUAGGGAAUAUUGGACAAUGGGCGCAAGCCUGAUCCAGCAAUGCCGCGUGAGUGAUGAAGGCCUUAGGGUUGUAAAGCUCUUUACCCGA
rnacentral:rRNA from 1 species